AUUGCUUCUCGGCCUUUUGGCUAAGAUCAAGUGUAGUAUCUGUUCUUAUCAGUUUAAUAAUAAUUUUUUUUUAAAAAAAAGAGAGAAUAAAAUCAUAGCAUUU
rnacentral:snRNA from 1 species